rnacentral:rRNA from 1 species
GAGUUUGAUCAUGGCUCAGAACGUACGCUGGCGGCACGCCUAACACAUGCAAGUCGAACGAAGUAGCAAUACUUAGUGGCAGACGGGUGAGUAACAUGUGGGUAUCUGCCCUUUGGUUUGGAAUAACACGAGGAAACUUGUGCUAAUACCGAAUAAGUCUUUACGGAGAAAGCUUUAUGCGCCAAUGGAUGAGCCCGCACUUGAUUAGUUUGUUGGUGGGGUAAUGGCCUACCAAGACUUUGAUCAAUAGCUGAUUUGAGAGGAUGAUCAGCCACAUUGGGACUGAGACACGGCCCAAACUCCUACGGGAGGCAGCAGUGGGGAAUCUUGCACAAUGGAGGAAACUCUGAUGCAGCGAUGCCGCGUGAGUGAAGAAGGCCCUUGGGUUGUAAAGCUCUUUCGUCGGGGAAGAAAAUGACUGUACCUGAAUAAGAAGGUCCGGCUAACUUCGUGCCAGCAGCCGCGGUAAUACGAAGGGACCUAGCGUAGUUCGGAAUUACUGGGCUUAAAGAGUUCGUAGGUGGUUGAAAUAGUUGGUGGUGAAAUCCCAGAGCUUAACCCUGGAACUGCCAUCAAAACUUUUCAGCUAGAGUAUGAUAGAGGAAAGCAGAAUUUCUAGUGUAGAGGUGAAAUUCGUAGAUAUUAGAAAGAAUACCAAUUGCGAAGGCAGCUUUCUGGAUCAUUACUGACACUGAGGAACGAAAGCAUGGGUAGCGAAGAGGAUUAGAUACCCUCGUAGUCCAUGCCGUAAACGAUGUGUGUUAGACGUUGGAAAUUUAUUUUCAGUGUCGCAGGGAAACCGAUAAACACACCGCCUGGGGAGUACGACCGCAAGGUUAAAACUCAAAUGAAUUGACGGGGACCCGCACAAGUAGUGGAGCAUGUGGUUUAAUUCGAAGAUACGCGCAGAACCUUACCAACACUUGACAUGUUCGUCGCGACUCUAAGAGAUUAGAGUUUUCGGUUCGGCCGGACGAAACACAGGUGCUGCAUGGCUGUCGUCAGCUCGUGUCGUGAGAUGUUGGGUUAAGUCCCGCAACGAGCGCAACCCUCACUUUUAGUUGCCAUCAUUAAGUUGGGCACUCUGAAAGAACUGCCAGUGAUAAGCUGGAGGAAGGUGGGGAUGACGUCAAGUCCUCAUGGCCCUUACGUGUUGGGCUACACACGUGCUACAAUGGUAUCUACAACAGGAAGCAAGACUGCGAAGUUAAGCAAAUCCCUAAAAGAUACCUCAGUUCGGAUUGCACUCUGCAACUCGAGUGCAUGAAGCUGGAAUUACUAGUAAUCGUGGAUCAGCGUGCCACGGUGAAUGCGUUCCCGGGUCUUGUACACACCGCCCGUCACACCAUGGGAGUUGAUUCUACCUUAAGGCAAAGUUUAAAACCUUUGACCACGGUAUAGUCAGCGACUGGGGUGAAGUCGUAACAAGGUAACC